rnacentral:rRNA from 1 species
AUUGAACGCUGGCGGCAGGCCUAACACAUGCAAGUCGAGCGGGGUUUUCGGACCUAGCGGCGGACGGGUGAGUAAUGCGUAGGAAGCUACCCGAUAGAGGGGGAUACCAGUUGGAAACGACUGUUAAUACCGCAUAAUGUCUACGGACCAAAGUGUGGGACCUUCGGGCCACAUGCUAUCGGAUGCGCCUACGUGGGAUUAGCUAGUUGGGGAGGUAAUGGCUCACCAAGGCGACGAUCCCUAGCUGGUUUGGGAGGAUGAUCAGCCACACUGGGAAUGAGACACGGCCCAGACUCCUACGGGAGGCAGCAGUGGGGAAUCUUGGACAAUGGGGGAAACCCCGAUCCAGCGACGCCGCGUGGGUGAUGAAGGCCUUCGGGUCGUAAAGCCCUGUCGGGGGAGAAGAAACUCCUGCCGGUAAACAAUCGGCAGGAUUGACGGUACCCCCUAAGGAAGCACCGGCUAACUCCGUGCCAGCAGCCGCCGCGG